AUUGAACGCUGGCGGCAUGCCUUACACAUGCAAGUCGAACGGUAACGCGGGGCAGCCUGGCGACGAGUGGCGAACGGGUGAGUAAUAUAUCGGAACGUGCCCAGUCGUGGGGGAUAACUGCUCGAAAGAGCAGCUAAUACCGCAUACGACCUGAGGGUGAAAGCGGGGGAUCUUCGGACCUCGCGCGAUUGGAGCGGCCGAUAUCAGAUUAGGUAGUUGGUGGGGUAAAGGCCUACCAAGCCGACGAUCUGUAGCUGGUCUGAGAGGACGACCAGCCACACUGGGACUGAGACACGGCCCAGACUCCUACGGGAGGCAGCAGUGGGGAAUUUUGGACAAUGGGGGCAACCCUGAUCCAGCCAUGCCGCGUGCGGGAAGAAGGCCUUCGGGUUGUAAACCGCUUUUGUCAGGGAAGAAAUCCUUUGGGCUAAUAACUCGGAGGGAUGACGGUACCUGAAGAAUAAGCACCGGCUAACUACGUGCCAGCAGCCGCGGUAAUACGUAGGGUGCAAGCGUUAAUCGGAAUUACUGGGCGUAAAGCGUGCGCAGGCGGUUAUGCAAGACAGAUGUGAAAUCCCCGGGCUCAACCUGGGAACUGCAUUUGUGACUGCAUGGCUAGAGUACGGUAGAGGGGGAUGGAAUUCCGCGUGUAGCAGUGAAAUGCGUAGAUAUGCGGAGGAACACCGAUGGCGAAGGCAAUCCCCUGGACCUGUACUGACGCUCAUGCACGAAAGCGUGGGGAGCAAACAGG
rnacentral:rRNA from 1 species